ensembl:snoRNA Gm25377 small nucleolar RNA SNORA17
UCUGCUCCUGGAGGUAUUGCAGGUAUGGCUGCUGUGUCACAUGUGCUUCAGUAGGUAGCAAAGAUGAUAGGAGUUAUGUCUACACUCAGUGUUCAAACCUAUGAACAUCUGAAUUAGUAACCUAACACU